UCCUGUUUGAGGAUGAAUGAGUGCUUGU
rnacentral:piRNA from 1 species